AAUUGCUGGGCUCUUGGCCAGACCGGGCUCCAUUUCCUGCCUGCAAGGCUGCAAGCUACAUUCCUGCCUCUCAGCCUCCAAGUCCCACAGGGCCCAGAUCUGUUCCCUUUCCAGGAGCCCCCCUCUGCCUGACUGCACCCCAGCCUCUGGGAGAAGGAUAACCCCCACGAUGAUGAUCCGGGAAUAAACAGAGUUGAAAAUGCUGACGGGGGAGAAAGGAAGUGGAACUGGGAGAAGCCAGAAGCCAGAACCUGAUCCCCAGAAUGGUGGGCUGCAUGCCAGGUGCAUCUUCACACUAGAGCCGGUCACUGAGCAGGAUCUGUGAGUUCUCUGUCCUCCCUCACCUGCGGUACCGACUCCAAUCCCUGACACUCCCCCAGCCUGUGUCCAGAGUGUCUAGUCCUGUCCCUGUCAAAGCUAGCUGUGUGGCUUUGGUCAUGUCACUUGAGCCCUCUGGGCCUCCAUCCCCCUCUCAGUCUCCCUGACUGGGACUGUUUAUACAUCCGGCACCUCCGACUUUUCCCCUUCAUCGCUGAUCUUUCUGGUCAGUAAGUCUUCUAUUCCCGUGAAGGCUGUCACAUACACUUGAGCUGCACGUUCCCCACACAAUGUCUUCUGCCUCCCAACGAGGGGUGGACGUAUGAACACACACAGAGAUGUGCAGCUUAGCUCGGUUCUGAGGUGGGCUUUUUAGUUUCUGUCUCUCUUUGCCCUUUCCUGGGCUGCCUUUACCAUUGAGACUGGCUCACACAGUCCUUCCCAGCCAGGAGUGAGACCCCAGCCCAGACCGCCACAUUCUCCCCACAGAAGAGCCCCCCUGCCAGCCUUGACCGCCCAGUAGCACCUCACACUACACAAUCUCCAUGAGCACACUCAAACACGGCCCCUCCUAUACCCAGCCAAGUCAGGCUCUGGCACGCCAGGCAUGUCUGCCGGAUGGAGGGGCCGGAAGCCUGAGAGAGGCAGACUAGAGGCUGGGGCAGCAGGAGCAGAGCAGGGGUGAAAGGCUGGCCCGCUGCUGGCUCAGGAAACGGAGGCCAGAGGGUCUACCAAAGGCCUUGUUUACUCAUCAGGAAAUAAAGAACCAGCAGGGGUUCUGACUCACAAUCUAAGCCAGUCUCCGCCCCAGCUCCAGCCCUAACUGCCACCUGGGGAGAGGUGGCCCUUUUUCCUAAGCGGGCAGGCGGGUCUUUAUUAAAUGUGUUGGCCAAGGGCUUUGUCUGGCCACCAGACAGGGACAAGCCUGGAGAGUAGCUACCUCACUAGCCUGCCUUCCUUACCACCACCCAGAGAUUACCUUCAGAGAGUACAAUCCUGGCAGGGCAAGGUGACUUUUACAUUUAAUCUCAACACUCAGGGGACUGAAAUAGGAGGAUAAAUUAUUCCAGAACAGCCUGGGCUACUUACAGAGUGAGCUGCUGUCUCAAGGGAAAAAAAAAUUCACAUAGUGCAAUCUUGCUCUGGCUACUGCCGGCUUCUAUUACCUUCUGUGGACGCCCACUACAGAAAAGGCCACUAUAUCAGUCUGUGACUGAAGCCAAGGGCCCCACAUGCCUCUCACUGUGCAGCUGCCUCUGCUUAAGCCUCACCUUCUCUCCCUGCCCUCUAAGCUUAAACAGUCAUGGGCCCCAGUGGCCCAAAGGAGCUCUGGCGAUUUUCCCUGCUCCACACAGAAGCUGGCUCCAAGUGGGACGCUCACCUCUGACACAGGGAAAUGACCCAGUCAAAGUCUGCCUCCUCUGGAAACAAGCAGAGCUCACCUAGGCAACUCCAGGUCUGACGGCAGAACACUGCUGUCUAGGGGAGGGCCGAGGGGCAGCCUGGACUCUCAGUCUCAUCCUGUGCAACACUCACCAACACUGGCGUAGACCAAGGUCUCCUCCCAGACCAUCCCUGGGCCACACUGGGCUCUUUCACUGGUGUAGGCUUGCUUGGUGGUGCUGGAAGUGAAGCCCUGGGCUUCAGCAUGCCUGGAAAGUGCUACACCACUGAGCUGUACCCUGCCUGGCCAUAAUGCUUAUCAACAACUGUCUGCCACCAUGGGCAAGGCCCUUCACCACACACCCGGUGCCCAGCGCCAGCCAGCACCCACAGCAGUUGUGUGGCAGGGAUAGGUGGACACCCUAAACAGAGUAUAGAGUGCUACAACCUUUCCUCCACUCCCCAUCAGGCCUCUCAGAGCCCUGGACACAGUGCGGUGACACUGGUUAAAGAAAAAAAAGGGGGGUUGGGGAUUUAGCUCAGUGGUAGAGCACUUGCCUAGCAAACGCAAGGCCCUGGGUUCAAUCCCCAGCUCCGAAAAAAGAAAAAAAAAAAAAAAAGGUGGAGCCAGAGAAAUGGCUCAGCAGUUAAGAGCACUGACUGCCCUUUCAGAGGCCCUGAGUUCAAAUCCCAGCAACCACAUGGUGGCUCACAACCAUCUGUAAUGGGAUCUGAUGCCCUCUUCUGGUGUGUCUGAAGACAGCUACGGUGUACUCACAUACAUAAAAUAAAUCUAAUAAUAGGGAGGAGGAAGAGGAGGAGGAAGAGGAAGAGGAAGAGGAAGAAAAAGGUGGAAUACAGAAAGACUAGCAGCACAAACUGAAAGAUGGCCCCCCAUCUGCCAAGCUGGCCUGGGUCAGGAGUCCCUCAGGACUGACCUCCACGUUCCCAACUGGUGAGUGGGAUGAAAGCAGAGCCGUGCAAGGCUCCAAGUCACUUAGCAGGUGUAGACCAGAUGUGAGUCCUCAUCCUGCACCUUGGAGCCUGGGACAGUGCCCACCACAGCCCACAAAUCCUUCCAAACACAGAGACUGAGUCCCAGAUGCCCCUCUGUGGUUGGAGGCAACCACAGGAAGGGAGAGGUGCCCACACUCAGGGUUCUGCUUGCAGGCUGCUUCUCUCAGACUAAAGGUGUGUGUACAUUAGGGAAAUACAUGAGGGCUAGCCUUUUCAUCCUCUUAGCCCUUACGCUAUUUCAGAGAUGAAGAAAUAUUCUAGGUGGGUAAUCUGCCUUUCUUCACACAAGCUACCAGAGCAUAGCAGGGGUGCAGACCAGGCCUCAGUGCAGACUCUGUGUGCCUUUCCUGCCACCCCCAUGGCUUCUCCCCAACCUGGAAUCUUUGUUCUCAAUCUCUAUAUCCCCAGGCCUUGUUUUGCCAAGUCUGUGUGUAUUGCAUUGCCUGAGUCUGUGUUUAUGUCUGUCCAUCCUCUCUCCUCCUGCCCUUCUGCUAGCUCCUGCUCCUCUACAGGGCAGGCACCAGGAGUCACCGUCCUGUACCAAGCUGGAGUUUCCUCAGAGAAGCUGAGAGGUUGUAGAGCCCCAGACAGUGGCUGCGACAACUAUCUUUCUCUAGGUUUCUCGCUGGUGGAGCAGGCUGCCUGGGGAGGGUUUCCUCUUCUGGGAAUGUCUGAUAGGGCAUGUUGGAGUGAAGUGGAGAAGCAGAAGCCAACCCUCUCACUUCACCCUUCACUGAGAAGAAAAAGGCAAACAACGGAGGUGGCGGGGAUAAGAUGGCAGGCUUUGGAAGAGCAGCAAAGGGUAGGCUGGUGGGUAGGAGGCCAGUCCACACCCAUCUCACCCGUGCACACGUAGACACAGGUAAGGAACUGUACUAUGGGGUGGAGUUGGGUUUGGGGAACAGCCUCCAACCCCCUACGCCCAGCAUAGACAGGGGUUGAGAACUGACCCCUUAUCCGGCCCUGCCUAAAGCUGAGCCUGGCUGAGCCUGGGAACCUCAACCAGCACAUGCUGUUCCAAUCUCCGGGGAGCAGGGGUCACUGUCCCCAGCUGGGGCAGCAGGCUCUACUAAAAAUCCAAAACACGGAGUCACGAGUCCAUGGCUAGCAGCUGGAAAUAGGAAUGCGAGGUGAGGGAGGCCUUGCUGGAUGGAGUUUGGGUUCCUGGGGUCGAGGGCCCACACCAUCUGCCUGGCCAUGGGCCCGCAUCAUCCAGGAAAAACAAAAACAAAAAACCUCAGAGACUAUAGGUGCCUGCGGCUGACCUCUCUCCUACAAGAUGGGAAAGGACAGGCAAAUCCAGUCCCUUCCCUGGGCAGGGAUAGAGGAGCAACCCAACGAACACUGAACGGGGUCUUUAUCCGGGAGACACGCUUUCCCUCAGUCUGUCCCUCAGGAGGAGACAGACAGGCAACUGCAUUUUGUUAGUCCCUCCAGAAAGAAGAAACAGGGGGCGGGGAGGCGGCGGAGGGAAGACAAGGUUCAGGGUUAGUUUUCAGGGCUUCAGUACCACCAAGGUUCUACAACUCACAAACAGCACUCUGGAAUCCUGGAGAGUUACAGACUGCCUUCCCCUGGGGAAGAGAACAUUUUCCCAGGCCGUCCCAGUCCCAGUUCUAGCUCCUAAUCCUCAGAGCUACGCAGCAGCUUUCUUUUCUACUUAGAUGGGUCUCCCUCUCUCUCCCUCUCGCUCUCUCCUUUCUCUCCUCUCUUUUCACUUAGGCGGCUCUCUCUACUUAGAUCUCUCUUUCCCCCCUCUCCCCUAACUCUCUCUCUGCCUCCUUUCUUCCUUCUCUUCUCUUCUCUACACUUAGACGGACCGCGACACACACACACACACACACACACACACACACACACACACACACACACACACACACACACACACACACACACACACACACACCCCUCCGGGCCCCCAUCUCCCCUUUUCCGCUCCGCAGGUUUCACCCACCCCACCCCCUCGGCGGUCUCGGGCUCCAGAGCCCAGGGCGGGUCACUCACCUGCCUCGGAGCUCGCAGUUCGGAGGGGAAUGGCGUGUGCACCGACGGGUCCCACUGCCCGACGGAGUCCGCUGCGCGGGCAGGAAGGGGGUGGGCCUCCGCCCGCGCCCAGGCAGGAAGUCCGCGCGGGGAGGCUGGAGCCGGGCCGGGUGGGGUCAGCCCUCCGCACGCCUGUCUGUGAAGUGGACCGGGAGAGCCGCCCAACCUGACAGGCUCUGGACCAGCCCCGGCCCCGGGUGUCGCGGUCCACCCGACGCCCCUCUUUCCUGCCCGGCGGCGCCCCCUGGCGGCCUUCAGGGGAGGGGCACCCUGCCUGCGCGAUCAGAUCAUUGGGAGCUUUGCAUGGGUUGAAGCAUGAUGCUGCUGUAAAGAAGCCAGAGCGGGGCUGGGGAUUUAGCUCAGUGGUAGAGCGCUUACCUAGGAAGCGCAAGGCCCUGGGUUCGGUCCCCAGCUCCGAAAAAAAGAACAAAAAAAAAAAAAAAAAAAAAAAAGAAGCCAGAGCCAAAACUGAGCAGUUGUCUGUCAGCUUGCUCAGAAGCACUCAACGACCUACCACAGUCAGGGCGCAGAACAAAAACGACGUGCCUGGGGGCGUGUGGCUUAGGCUGCAAGCCCUAGAUUGAAUUCUAAACAGCAGGAACACCUUUAUUUAAGAGUGGUUGACAUAUGAUAAAAGUCUUACUUGGUUUGAUGAAUAUUGUUCCAAAACUUCAUCGUGACAAAAUAUACGCAUUAUAAAA